GAAAUGCCUCCAUGAGAUCCAGCUGUAAGGCAUUUUCUCAAUUAGUGAUAAAGGCUAGGAGAGCCCAUUAUGGGUGGUGCCAUCCCUGGGCUGGUAGUCUUG
rnacentral:miRNA from 14 species